rnacentral:rRNA from 1 species
CGCGGCCUAUCAGCUUGUUGGUGGGGUGAUGGCCUACCAAGGCGACGACGGGUAGCCGGCCUGAGAGGGCGACCGGCCACACUGGGACUGAGACACGGCCCAGACUCCUACGGGAGGCAGCAGUGGGGAAUAUUGCACAAUGGGCGGAAGCCUGAUGCAGCAACGCCGCGUGAGGGAUGACGGCCUUCGGGUUGUAAACCUCUUUUAGCAGGGAAGAAGCGAGAGUGACGGUACCUGCAGAAAAAGCACCGGCUAACUACGUGCCAGCAGCCGCGGUAAUACGUAGGGUGCAAGCGUUAUCCGGAAUUAUUGGGCGUAAAGAGCUCGUAGGCGGUUUGUCGCGUCUGCUGUGAAAUCCCGAGGCUCAACCUCGGGCCUGCAGUGGGUACGGGCAGACUAGAGUACGGUAGGGGAGAUUGGAAUUCCUGGUGUAGCGGUGAAAUGCGCAGAUAUCAGGAGGAACACCGGUGGCGAAGGCGGAUCUCUGGGCCAUUACUGACGCUGAGGAGCGAAAGCGUGGGGAGCGAACAGGAUUAGGUACCCUGGUAGUCCACGCCGUAAACGUUGGGAACUAGGUGUUGGCGACAUUCCACGUCGUCGGUGCCGCAGCUAACGCAUUAAGUUCCCCGCCUGGGGAGUACGG